rnacentral:tRNA from 1 species
CCGACUUUAGCUCAAUUAGUAGAGUGGAGGACUGUAGUUGGAGUAAUAAUAUGAGCUGAAAUCCUUAGGUCGCUGGUUCAAAUCCGGCAGGUCGGA